CGAUUGGUUCUAUUUUGUUGGUUUCUAGGACCAUCGUAAUGAUUAAUAGGGACGGUCGGGGGCAUCAGUAUUCAGUUGUCAGAGGUGAAAUUCUUGGAUUUACUGAAGACUAACUACUGCGAAAGCAUUUGUCAAGGACGUUUUCAUUAAUCAAGAACGAAAGUUAGGGGAUUGAAGAUGAUCAGAUACCGUCGUAGUCUUAACCAUAAACUAUGCCGACUAGGGAUCGGGCGGUGCCUUUUAUUGGCCCACUCGGCACCUUACGAGAAAUCAAAGUUUUUGGGUUCUGGGGGGAGUAUGGUCGCAAGGCUGAAACUUAAAGGAAUUGACGGAAGGGCACCACCAGGAGUGGAGCCUGCGGCUUAAUUUGACUCAACACGGGGAAACUCACCAGGUCCAGACACAAUAAGGAUUGACAGAUUGAGAGCUCUUUCUUGAUCUUUUGGAUGGUGGUGCAUGGCCGUUCUUAGUUGGUGGAGUGAUUUGUCUGCUUAAUUGCGAUAACGAACGAGACCUCGGCCCUUAAAUAGCCCGGUCCGCAUUUGCGGGCCGCUGGCUUCUUAAGGGGACUAUCGGCUCAAGCCGAUGGAAGUGCGCGGCAAUAACAGGUCUGUGAUGCCCUUAGAUGUUCUGGGCCGCACGCGCGCUACACUGACAGGGCCAGCGAGUACAUCACCUUAACCGAGAGGUUUGGGUAAUCUUGUUAAACCCUGUCGUGC
rnacentral:rRNA from 1 species